AGCCUGGCGGAUGGGAUUUCUCACUGUUUGAGCUCUUCUCCUCAUCGAAUGAAUUGUAGAAUUGUAGUAAAGGGAUACUUCGCCAAAUUGAUCAACUGCUCCCUGAAUGGUGUUUGUGUCACGGUGUAAAUCGCAGUGUUAGUGCAGCAGUUCAAGAGCUGCAACAUGAAGCCCAAUUCCAGAACAAACCAGUGCAAAUGAAGAGACUUAAAUCCCAAGUUCCGCAUUCGGAUACCUAUGGAAAACACCAUUAACGUUGACCACAACAAGAUGAAAUUGGCUGAGAUCACAAAAAGCAAAAUGAUGGAUUUCCUUCGAGUUUCCAUUUCUCGGUCUCUGGCACUCUCCCCACUACUGUGAGCUCGGAGUCUCCUGCGGGCUCUGCUGCUUACUAAAAUGUGCCUGACAGUGAGAACAUUGAGCAGCAGAAUCAGGACAAAUGGAACACAUGGAUUUAGAAUGUGGUGGAGGAACUCGAGUGUUCCCCAUAACGGAGAGGCCCGAACAUCGACUGUCAUAUAACAAAACCAGGGAAAGUUCGCCAGAUAAUACUGACCUGUGUACAUAAAAUACCAGAAAAUAUUUUUUAAACAGCUCAGACCAGCCACUGAUGUUAGGACCACAACCGCCAUUUUCUUUCUGCAAUAUUUACUUUUCAGCUUUGGGCUGGAAAUGGCCACAAAUCGGUCAAAGGUGAAAGUGACGGUGAACCAGACAGAACAGUCAGUGGCUGCAUAAAGCAAGACGGCAUGGAUAUUACACAUGGGGGUGGAAUACAGGAAAAUGAAAUGCUCCUUAAAAAUAAUUGGCAUGUGUCUCAAUAUCAGGUCCAGGAUAACGACCAGAAGAUCCGCCACUGCCAUAGCCACCAGAUCGGUGGAGAGGGGUUACUGAACAGAGAGAUAGGAGUCAACUGAUGAAGAUUUAAGAAAAAAAAAAUUCUUACGCAAGAAAAUAUGAACUAUAUUACAAUAACCCUUCACCCACAAAUAUAUUUUCACAGAGAAAAACAACUGCGUAUGGAUAAUGCAGCAUAAGUGACAAAAGCUAAUACUCACACUAAUUGCAGUGAUCAUGGUAGGAAAAAAACAAACUGAAACAUGUGACAGAUGCGACUCCAAAGAGAUGCUAUGUACCUGUCAUCAACUCCAAACAGCUGUUUAUCCAAUGGUAAGCUAACAGGUCUUACUGAUCUCCGCCUUUUAAAGGAGGAUAUCUAAUCUCCACUCUUCGGUAACUCUAUUUCGAAUCAUCUACCAAAAUAAUGCUUUAUCCCAGUUGACACUCGGAAGGGUUUAAAAGUCUCAAUUUGAUUUUCCUGUCACCUUGGUCACCUCAUCUAUUCAAGCUGUCUUCCAUGCACUCUCCCGCACCAAACCAGAGGCGAAGAAUACCACUGCUCGACAUGUCCGGAGCGAUGAUUGACAUCCUUUUUUGGCUGUCUUUUUUGGAAAUUCUAUCUUCUCAACAAGCCUUUGUAUCAUGUUAAAUCUGUGUCCUGCAGCUAUUGUGCAUUUCAUUUCGAGGCUUAGUUUCACUUAGUACACCUUUUCCAGGUUCCUGAUCUUCCUUUGAUUGCAGGGUCUAUUGGGACAUUCCCAUGAUCACAUGUCAGCUAUUGUAACUUGGGAAAUUUUGGUUGUUUUGGAAAAUUUACUCUCUCAGUAGUUCACUCUCCGCUGGCUGCAGUGCCUUUUGGUAGAUGUCUUCAAACUGAUCUCAAAAUGCUGCGUUCUCUCUCUCUCUCUCUGUGCGUGUCCAUGUUAGUUUGUGGCUGGCCCUCUCCGAACCCCUCUUUCCAGGCAACUAAACAUGAUAUUUUUUUUCGUGCUCUUAUUGUUUGAACGUAUUUUUGAGUCUUAACACUCAUGGGAACUGCUGCCACGAUUUAAAGUGAAAGCAAACCUAACGUCGUUACUUCGUUAAGAAUCACAUAAAGACAUGGAAAU